ACAAACUUGGUCAUUUAGAGGAAGUACAAGUCGUAACAAGGUAUCCGUAGGUGAACCUGCGGAUGGAUCAUUAUUGAGUGAUUUUGUUUGUAAUGUGAAUUGUUGAUUGAUGUGGUUGGUGGUGAUUUUGCUUGGUACUUCUUUGAUGUGCUUGGUAUUUUGAUGUACUUGGUGCUUCUUCGAUUUACUUGUCACCACCAGCCUCUAUACGUACACUAUGCAUGCCUGAGUCCAUUUACUGAAUGAAAAACAACUUUUAGCAAUGGAUCUCUUGGCUCUCGCAUCGAUGAAGAACGCAGC
rnacentral:misc_RNA from 1 species